AGCGAACGCUGGCGGCAGGCCUAACACAUGCAAGUCGAACGAAGUCUUCGGACUUAGUGGCGGACGGGUGAGCAACACGUGGGAACGUGCCUUUAGGUUCGGAAUAACUCAGGGAAACUUGUGCUAAUACCGAAUGUGCCCUUCGGGGGAAAGAUUUAUCGCCUUUAGAGCGGCCCGCGUCUGAUUAGCUAGUUGGUGAGGUAAAGGCUCACCAAGGCGACGAUCAGUAGCUGGUCUGAGAGGAUGAUCAGCCACCUUGGGACUGAGACACGGCCCAAACUCCUACGGGAGGCAGCAGUGGGGAAUCUUGCGCAAUGGGCGAAAGCCUGACGCAGCCAUGCCGCGUGAAUGAUGAAGGUCGUAGGAUUGUAAAAUUCUUUCGCCGGGGACGAUAAUGACGGGACCCGGAGAAGAAUCCCCGGCUAACUUCGUGCCAGCCGCCGCAGUAACAC
rnacentral:rRNA from 1 species